rnacentral:rRNA from 1 species
UACGUAGGGUGCGAGCGUUGUCCGGAAUUAUUGGGCGUAAAGAGCUCGUAGGCGGCUCGUCGCGUCGGCUGUGAAAACCUGGGGCUCAACCCCGGGCCUGCAGCCGAUACGGGCGAGCUAGAAUUCGGUAGGGGAGACUGGAAUUCCUGGUGUAGCGGUGAAAUGCGCAGAUAUCAGGAGGAACACCGGUGGCGAAGGCAGAUCUCUGGGCCGUAACUGACGCUGAGGAGCAGAA